rnacentral:rRNA from 1 species
UACAGAGGGUGCAAGCGUUGUUCGGAAUUAUUGGACGUAAAGCGCGCGUAGGCGGUUAUCUAAGUCGGAUGUGAAAGCCCUCGGCUUAACUGAGGAAGUGCACCCGAAACUGGAUAGCUAGAGUACGAAAGAGGGUCGCGGAAUUCCCGGUGUAGAGGUGAAAUUCGUAGAUAUUGGGAGGAACACCAGUGGCGAAGGCGGCUCACUGGACCGGUACUGACGCUGAUGCGCGAAAGCGUGGGGAGCAAACAGG